UACGUAGGAUGCAAGCGUUGUCCGGAUUUACUGGGCGUAAAGCGUGCGUAGGCGGUUCGUUAAGUCUGUUGUGAAAGCCCCGGGCUCAACCUGGGAAUGGCAAUGGAUACUGGCGAGCUAGAGUGUGUCAGAGGAUGGUGGAAUUCCCGGUGUAGCGGUGAAAUGCGUAGAGAUCGGGAGGAACAUCAGUGGCGAAGGCGGCCAUCUGGGACAACACUGACGCUGAGGCACGAAAGCGUGGGGAGCAAACAGG
rnacentral:rRNA from 1 species